UGGGGAAUAUUGGACAAUGGGGGAAACCCUGAUCCAGCAAUGCCGCGUGAGUGAAGAAGGCCUUAGGGUUGUAAAGCUCUUUCGCCCGCGAAGAUAAUGACGGUAGCGGGAGAAGAAGCCCCGGCUAACUCCGUGCCAGCAGCCGCGGUAAUACGUAGGCAGCAAGCGUUGUUCGGAGUUACUGGGCGUAAAGAGUGCGUAGGCGGUUUUCUAAGUUCGGUGUGAAAUCUCCCGGCUUAACUGGGAGGGUGCGCCGAAGACUGGGAAGCUGGAGUGUGGGAAAGGCAGGCGGAAUUCCUGGUGUAGCGGUGAAAUGCGUAGAUAUCAGGAGGAACACCGGCGGUGUAGACGGCUUGCUAGACCAUAACUGACGCUGAGGCACGAAAGCGUGGGUAGCAAACA
rnacentral:rRNA from 1 species